CUCAAAAUUCUGGAUAGUAUAGCAUUCUCCCAUAUGCUGCUACAGUGAGCAUCAGAGUAUCAUGGCACGCCUGGGGCAAACUUGAAAUUUCCCACAAGUUGGCAACGGCUACUCUGUUUUGAAAUCUUUCUGUUUGACUGUUGUGAUUCUUUGUCAGGAUUAGUUAUUUGAUUCCUAUUCCUUUUUGAUACGGCUGUAAACCUAUAUAUAUGAGAGUAUAUCAAUUGUAAAGAGGGCAAGGGGAGAAUCAUUCAUUCUUCAAUCUGAAUAUUCAUCCUUUCCAGGUCACCUUCUUCUUCAUUUUCUUCCUCAUUUUCUUACA
rnacentral:lncRNA from 1 species